CUCUCGCGUGAGUGAUGGAAGUGGAGCUCUUUUUUUGUGAGGCUUCUGCCGAAUAAAAAAAAGCGGGAACGGACAGCACGACCCAGA
rnacentral:sRNA from 2 species